rnacentral:rRNA from 1 species
GACGAACGCUGGCGGCGUGCCUAAUACAUGCAAGUCGAACGCAGUGGGGACGGGUGAGUAAAACGUGGGUAACCUACCAUCAGAGGGGAUAACACUUGGAAACAGGUGCUAAACAGAUACCGAUGUAUGGACCCGGGGUGCAUUAGCUAGUUGGUGCGGUAACGGCUCACCAAGGCCACGAUGCCUCGCCGACCUGAGAGGAUGAGAGGCCACACUGGGACUGAGACACGGACCAGACUCCUACGGGAGGCAGCAGUAGGGAAUCUUCGGCAAUGGACGAAAGGCUGACCGAGCAACGCCGCGUGAGUGAAGAAGGUUUUCGGAUCGUAAAACUCUGUUGUUAGAGAAGCGGUAUCUAACCAGAAAGCCACGGCUAACUACGUGCCAGCAGCCGCGGUAAUAC